ACCCAGGAGGAGGAAGUAUUUGAAUCAUGGAGGCUGUUCUUUUCCGUGCUAUUCUUGUGAUAGUGAGUAAGCCUGGUGAGAUCUGAUAGUUUAUCAGGGGC